AAUGAACGCUGGCGGCGUGCUUAACACAUGCAAGUCGAACGAGAAAGGGAUUGCUUGCAAUCCCGAGUAGAGUGGCGCACGGGUGAGUAACACGUAGAUAAUCUACCUUCAAGCCUGGAAUAACUAUUCGAAAGGAUAGCUAAUACUGGAUAAAGUUGAUUGACACAAGUUGAUUUAUGAAAGAUUGCCUCUUCUCGAAAGCAAUUGUUUGGAGACGAGCUUGCGGACCAUUAGUUUGUUGGUGGGGUAAAGGCCUACCAAGACUACGAUGGUUAGCUGGUCUGAGAGGAUGAUCAGCCACACUGGAACUGGUACACGGUCCAGACUCCUACGGGAGGCAGCAGUGAGGAAUUUUGCGCAAUGGGGGAAACCCUGACGCAGCAACGCCGCGUGAGUGAAGAAGGCCCUUGGGUCGUAAAGCUCUGUCGACAGGGAAGAAAUUAACAUCAUCCAAUAGGUGUUGUUAUGACGGUA
rnacentral:rRNA from 1 species